rnacentral:tRNA from 1 species
GCUGGAGUGGCUCAAUGGCAAAGUGUUUGCCUAGCAUGUACAAGGUCCUGGGUUCGAUCCCCAGCACCAGAU